AACGAACGCUGGCGGCAUGCCUAACACAUGCAAGUCGAACGAGACCUUCGGGUCUAGUGGCGCACGGGUGCGUAACGCGUGGGAAUCUACCCUUGGGUUCGGAAUAACUCAGAGAAAUUUGAGCUAAUACCGGAUGAUGUCGCAAGACCAAAGAUUUAUCGCCCAAGGAUGAGCCCGCGUAGGAUUAGCUUGUUGGUGAGGUAAAAGCUCACCAAGGCGACGAUCCUUAGCUGGUCUGAGAGGAUGAUCAGCCACACUGGGACUGAGACACGGCCCAAACUCCUACGGGAGGCAGCAGUGGGGAAUAUUGGACAAUGGGCGCAAGCCUGAUCCAGCCAUGCCGCGUGAGUGAUGAAGGCCUUAGGGUUAUAAAGCUCUUUUGUCCGGGAAGAUAAUGACUGUACCGGAAGAAUAAGCCCCGGCUAACUUCGUGCCAGCAGCCGCGGU
rnacentral:rRNA from 1 species